rnacentral:rRNA from 1 species
AGGCGACGAUCCCUAGCUGGUCUGAGAGGAUGACCAGCCACACUGGAACUGAGACACGGUCCAGACUCCUACGGGAGGCAGCAGUGGGGAAUAUUGCACAAUGGGCGCAAGCCUGAUGCAGCCAUGCCGCGUGUAUGAAGAAGGCCUUCGGGUUGUAAAGUACUUUCAGCGGGGAGGAAGGGAGUAAAGUUAAUACCUUU